AUUUCCUGUGGUCCAACAGACAUUCCUCUCAGCGUUUAUCACUCACAUACAUUUGUUUUGGCAGAUACUGGGUCUUGGGUAAGAACAACAAGAAACGGUUGGAGGGAAAGCUACCUCAGGAAAAAAAAAAAUGCAGUUAUUGUCAGGAGAAGAAAGUGAGACUGAAUCAACUCCUAUCUCAAAGGAAAACAAAUACUACCAAAAUGGACCCGAGAGAUCCGAAAUGUGAGAAUGUGCGUGCCACUUACACAGCUGUGCCACAUUUUGAUUGCAAUGGCAACUCAGAGUGAAGAACAGUCCCUGAACAGGCGGCUAAGGUGUUGGCAUUUCAUCUGUGUCAAGUGGAGUCUUUAUUCAGAGGCAAAGGGAAAAAUCUGGGGAAUGUGGCCAAGGUCAUCCGAUCAUCAUCAGCGGAGGGAAUGCACUUGCUGCUGUGGCCAAGCAGAUGGAAUUCACUACGUUAUUUUUCUAGGCUUUUGGAAGUUGAGCUAAGAGAUAAGGGUGGAAGGCCCUUUGCAUAUUUGCUAACAUUCAGUGAGUCCUUACUCUGUGCCAGGCCCUGUACUAAGUGAAUGGUUUUCAGGGUGUCAGUCAUUAGAACUUUGUAUGACAAGGCUCCCGAUUGUAACUCAAGAUGUUCUAUGAAGUCUCCAAGAGGUGGCCUGAUUUCCUUGGAGUCAUGACCAAGGCCAGAACAGCUGGUGUUCCUCUCCUAACACAGCUCUGGUUCCAACGACAGGCAAUUGGACUUGGGAUGUUUAGUGAGGAAGGUUCUGUGUUUGAGGCACUCCGGCCACCAGUGAACCGAUGGAGUUCCUAUUCUUCGACAUCGGCCUCCUUCAAUUGAUCCACGUUUAAAUUUAUACUUUAAAUAUAUUCUGCCUUAACUGCUCCUGCCUUAUUUUUACAAAUAUUACACUCUGAGGUUCAAUUUAGAGGAAGCAAUCUUAGAAAUUAAUAAAAAAAACAUAGCUGCAGCUCAUAUCCAACGAAACAAUUAAAAACACACAUGCGCACAGAUUACUCUUAGACCACUGGUGAACACGGAGCCUUAAACAAUGGGAUGUUAUGCAAAUGACACAGUAUUUCUGCCAUCUUCUAGAAGAGUGCUAUGGUCAUUAAGGAAAGGUUGUUUCGGUCAGGUCAAUAGUUGCAAAACACAGUGAGUCAUGUAAGACCAUUUAUUAAGCUUUGUGGACAGUUACAAUGAAAGUAGAGAGCAUGGUUCUUUUUUCUGUAAACUAUUUACUGCCAAAUGGGAAAAAAAACCCAAUAAAUGUAUGCAUCCAUAGCAAAUA